UACGAGGGGGGCAAGCGUUGUUCGGAAUUAUUGGGCGUAAAGGGCGCGUAGGCGGUGCGGUAAGUCUGAUGUGAAAUCUCCGGGCUCAACUCGGAGUCUGCAUCAGAAACUGCCGUGCUCGAGUGUGGGAGAGGUGAGUGGAAUUCCCGGUGUAGCGGUGAAAUGCGUAGAUAUCAGGAGGAACACCGGUGGCGAAGGCGGUUCUCUGGGCCUGUACUGACGCUGAGGAGCGAAAGCGUGGGGAGCGAACAGG
rnacentral:rRNA from 1 species